rnacentral:tRNA from 1 species
GGAGAGAUGGCUGAGCGGUUGAAGGCGCCCGCCUCGAAAGCGGGUAGGGAUUACGUCCCUCGCGAGUUCGAAUCUCGCUCUCUCCGCCA